CACAUGGAUACGUGAACAUCAAGGCCGUGCAUCCCUUUCUAAAUGCUUUAUGGAGGAAAUGCAUGGCAAGAAAAAGUGUUUGCUACCCAUGUGCUACAGCUCCAUGGACUACCAAUGAGAUUGAACGAGCAUAAAUCUGCUAUAAGGAGAAAACAGUGUCCCAAGCUGAAUAGGACUGCUCACUGGUUACUGUGAAGAAUGGGACAGCUUCUGGGGGCCUACAUGGUCACAUGAUGUUUUUCUCUGUCAUGAUGCUCCACAAAAAAAUGUGAAAGACCUUGCUCAAAUAAAUAUAUUCACUGGACUUCGUACAAUUCAAACUGUAUUCUUUUAACAAAACCAGUUUAGAGUUCAACAGAUCAAACAUUUCAUGGCCAAUCAAAAAAACAGAAGCUUCCUUUUUUCCUUCAAGUCUUACAAAUGCUUGUGUUAGACCCAGUUCUUUAAUUGAAAGCGCGAGAAGUGAAGAGAAGAGGGCUGUAUAAAAUCAACAGAAAAUUUAAUCAGUCUGGUCACAAGUAAAGCCAUACAGCACUGGGUUCAGAGAAACAGAACUUCCACAGGAACACCGUUAUCAAAGAGCCCCGAACUAUCAUCUGUGGUCACAUUUAUCUUCUUGGGUGGAAACCGCCCUGUACAGAGGUUGGACUUUACACGCAUCUUAAUUCUAUUGGCCCUUGGUGUGAGCAGGCCAACCUCUGCCCCUACCAGUUUACUGAAAUGUGCUAGAAGCCAGGUGUGUGAAUGUUGUGGUGUCAGGCGGUAGCUAACAAUGAAUACUGGACAGUUGGUUGUCUAUGGCUGCAGACGCUGUCUGUCUAGGCUAUUACAGGACAAAGCAGGCCUUGCAAAAAUGCUAAAUAGGCCAAAUGAUCAUCUUCAGUUGUAGGCCCCCCAUCUCUGAAAUCUGUUACAUAACAGCAGAACUAGUGAAAUGCUAAGAGGGCCUAUGUGAAGAUGCAACACAGGCUGUCUGGUUAAUUAAGGAUGCAGACCUUAUUUCUCCACAAACUUCUAGCAGACAGCUCCUACUCAGCAGUUCUUGAUCAUUAUCAAUACAGUUAAAACAUAUAUAAGAAAGGAAAAUCAAGGUAUGAGAGUAACUAAUAUAACAUCUGAAUAUUACACUUGUUCUCUGUAAAACAUUUGAGGCUUGGUUUAGCAAUCAAAACCAUAUCUGUUGGUUUCCUACUCAACUUUAGGUUUGUAUAUACAAGACAAUAAAUUAAUGGGUAUAAAAUAAUUUGUUGUGCAUUGUCAUAAAUAAAAUCCACACUAAAAACAAGGAAUCAUGUAAAAUUAUGUUUUUACUAAACAUAAUCUAAAAAUGUCCCCUGCACAAUGAAAUGAAUCAGGGACACAGACAACUCAUUUGCUCUCAUGAGAAGGUGGGAAAAGGGAUGUGUACGAUGGAGGUUGGUCACCCUCUUGAAACUGAGGUGGACCAGUAGGGGGUUGAUGCUGCCCUGAAGAUGAUGCAUUUGAAAAACCAUAUGCGACAGUGUACUGGGGCAAUUCAUUAUCGUAGCAACUUCCUAUGGUUGCAUGUUGACUGGGAUGUGGUGCUGGGUACCCAUAACUAUCUACAGGUACAGGAUAUGCGCCACCAGGGAAGGCAGGGGGAGGGAAGUCGCUGUAACUUGGGCCCCCAGCAGCCCCACCUGGGUAAGACCCCACAGGCUGAAAGGCAGCAGAGUCACAAGGAAUGACAA